AACGCAGCUCCGCUCCGAAUUUGCCUCCACCGUGUCGUCCUCGCACGAAGCAUUCCCCACCCCACGGCUGGAAUGACAUCAGAGCAGCUCCGAGACCUUGAAAGUCUGCGGGCUGAUUAGCGGGAGGAAUCGGCCGCUUCUGCCAAUCACAGCCCUGCGAAGCCGCCUCGCUACUCCUGGAGAUCGGCGGGAGAAGGAGGCUGAUUCCGGCACACGGGAGCGCAGCGCCGGCAGCAGGACCGCCAGCAGCUGCUCUUCGGACCAUUAAACAGUUCUCGCAGCCUUCCUGCCGGAGCCUGCCGGCUCCCCGGCGUAAUCCCCGUGUCCAAGAAGGAAGCCGCGUUUGGAACGGUGUGCUGAGCAGAGGUUUGAAUCAUUCCAGCUGGCUGCUCGCUYUGAAAAGGACAGGCUGCCUAUAAAUGAGAUGUGACUGUGCCGGCAGAGUUCGCUGACUGGGGCUGGAGCAAGAGGAGCCUGCCUGGGAUGCUGCUCAGACAGCUGCUGGCUGUAGAAAACUCUCCCUAGUUUACCUGGAGCUCUCCGAAGAGGUUUGAGUAGCAGAUGUCUUUUUGCYGCACGCUAGGAAGAGAAAUCCUUCUCUAGAUAAUGUUAAGAGUCCUCCUCAUUGAUUAUUGGCAGCUGCUGCAUUCUGAGAAAACGUCUUUCAAUUCAUCUUUCCGGAUCCUUUGACUUCCCUCUCAAACAGCUUUACAGCCUCCCCRACAGCUUCAUAAAUGCACUGCAAUGGUCACAUGAACGUCUUGGAAGGGGAAUUGGCACCUCUGCAACUCCUCAUUCCYAUGGCACUUUAGGAGGAGCACCCGGAAGAGCGGCGAGUCCAGCAGGAUCUGGAAGCCCCACGAAAGAUGAAUCUCAUCGGGAAGCUCCGCAGAAGCUUCCGGACACUGGUCGUUCUGCUGGCCACCUUCUGCUUGGCAAGCAUUGUCAUCUCCGCCUAUUUCCUCUACACUGGCUACAAGCAGGAAAUGGCCCUCGUGGAAACCACCGGACAAGCUGAGUGUGAGGACCUCAAACUUCUGCCCUACAGGUCUGUGGAGCUGAGAACCCCCAAGCCAAUUGAUCCCUCCAGAACUGAUCCCACUGUGCUCCUGUUUGUGGAAAGCCAAUACUCCCAGCUGGGGCAAGACAUCAUAGCCAUCCUCGAGUCCAGCAGGUUCCAGUACCACAUGGUCAUCGCGCCAGCCAAGGGCGACAUUCCCCCUCUCACCGACAACGGCAGAGGGAAAUACACCAUUGUUAUAUACGAGAAUAUUUUAAAGUACGUGUCCAUGGACUCGUGGAAUAGAGAGCUUCUGGAAAAAUACUGUGUGGAAUACAGUGUUAGCAUCAUUGGUUUUCAUAAAGCCAACGAGAACAGCUCACCGAGCAUCAGACUGAAGGGGCUGCCAUUGCAGCUGCACACCAACGUGGCCCUCAGAGACUGCGUGGUGAACCCUCAGUCGCCSCUGCUGCGCAUCACCAAAGCGCCCAGGGUGGAGAAGGGGCCCCUGCCCGGUGAGGACUGGACRGUGUUCCAGUUUAACCACUCCACCUACCAGCCCGUGCUGCUGACAGAGCUGCAGCCCUCCAGGCCCACCCCCGCCACGCUGCCGAGGGCUGCUCUCUAUGCCACCGUCAUCCAAGACCUGGGCCUGCACGACGGCAUCCAGAGAGUCCUCUUUGGAAACAACCUGACCUUCUGGCUCCACAAACUCAUCUUUAUCGAUGCCAUCUCUUUCCUGUCGGGGAAGAAGCUCACGCUCUCCUUAGAGAGGUACAUCCUGGUUGACAUMGAUGACAUCUUUGUCGGGAAGGAGGGGACGAGGAUGAACAUCAACGAUGUGAAGGCUUUACUAGAGACUCAAAAUUUACUGCGCACUCAGGUUGCAAAUUUUACCUUCAACCUUGGAUUUUCAGGAAAAUUUUACCACACAGGGACUGAGGAGGAGGAUGAGGGUGAUGACCUGCUGCUGAGAUCUGUGGAUGAGUUCUGGUGGUUUCCCCACAUGUGGAGUCACAUGCAGCCACACCUCUUCCACAAUGAGUCCUCACUGGUGGAGCAGAUGAUCCUCAACAAGGAGUUUGCCUUAGAGCACGGCAUCCCGACGGGCAUGGGCUACGCGGUGGCUCCGCACCACUCCGGGGUGUACCCGGUGCACGUGCAGCUCUACGAGGCCUGGAAGAAGGUGUGGCACAUCCGAGUGACCAGCACRGAAGAGUACCCACACCUGAAACCUGCACGGUACAGACGGGGCUUCAUCCACAAUGGCAUCAUGGUUCUCCCUCGACAGACCUGUGGCCUUUUCACUCACACUAUUUUUUACAAGGAAUAUCCUGGGGGUCCUCAGGAGCUGGACAAAAGUAUCCGAGGAGGUGAACUGUUCCUCACCAUUCUCCUGAAUCCCAUCAGCAUCUUCAUGACCCAYYUGUCCAACUAUGGCAACGACCGCCUGGGGCUCUACACCUUUGCCAACCUCGCCAGCUUUGUCAAGGGUGCCACCAACCUGAACCUGCAGACCCUGCCCCCCGUGCAGCUGGCUCACAAAUACUUCGAGCUCUUCCCCGAGCAGACAGACCCUCUCUGGCAGAACCCGUGUGAUGACAAGAGACACAGGGAUAUUUGGUCCAGAGAUAAAACUUGUGACCACCUACCCAAAUUCCUGGUGAUAGGACCCCAGAAAACAGGAACAACAGCCCUUUAUUUAUUCCUUCUGAUGCAUCCUUCCAUCAUCAGCAAUCUCCCCAGCCCAAAAACUUUUGAGGAAGUUCAAUUCUUCAAUGGCAACAACUACCACAAGGGAAUUGACUGGUACAUGGAUUUCUUCCCCACUCCUUCCAACAUCACCACUGACYUCCUCUUUGAGAAAAGUGCCAACUAUUUCCAUUCRGAGGAAGCUCCCAAGAGAGCUGCUUCCCUCAUCCCCAAGGCCAAGAUCAUCACCAUCCUCAUCGACCCGUCCGACCGGGCCUAUUCCUGGUACCAGCACCAGCGCUCCCACGAGGACCCCGCUGCCCUGAGGUUCAAUUUCUACGAGGUGAUCACGGGCAGCCCCCGGGCACCCGCSGAGAUCCGGGCGCUGCAGAGGAGGUGCCUGAGCCCCGGCUGGUACGCGCUGCACAUCGAGAGGUGGCUGGCACACUUCCCUGCCUCCCAGUUGCUCAUCAUCGAUGGACAGCAGCUGAGAAGUGACCCUGCUACUGUGAUGGAUGAAGUGCAGAAGUUUCUGGGAGUCUCUCCUCAUUACAAUUACUCUGAAGCCCUAACGUUUGACCCUCAGAAAGGCUUCUGGUGCCAACUAUUGGAAGGAGGGAAAACAAAGUGCCUGGGGAAAAGCAAAGGUCGGAAAUACCCACCAAUGGACCAAGAGUCUCGGGCGUUUCUGUCGAGCUACUACCGAGAGCACAACGUGGAGCUGUCCAAGCUGCUGCACAGGCUGGGCCAGCCGCUGCCCUCGUGGCUGAGGCAGGAGCUGCAGAAGGUCAGGUAGCACUGUGGACAGGGGACCCUGGCCAGGCCCAUUCCUGCCCCCUCGGACCCCCCGCUCCUCCGGCUCACUCGGGAUCGUCAGGACAGGACCUCAUGGACCAUGCCCUUCCCAGCAAAACCAACACCAGACCAUGAACAAACCAAACCAGCCCCAACCCUAAAGCCACCCACCGUUGGUAUGCACGUGCUGAGAGCUCAGCACCAUCCACCCCCUUUGUCAGCUCCCAGGRAAGCUCGUGGAGCUCCGUGGCGUUCCCCGUUCUCCUGCCCCGGAUCCGUGCGGAGCCUCGGCCCUCCCUKCACCAGAAGCAGCAGAACUGUGAGUAGGAUGGAUUGACCUCGGACUGAGGACCGACUGCAGUCUGUCAGGACACGGCAGAGGAUGGGAAUGUCUCUCGCUGGACUGGGAGUUCAUCCUUUUAGUGUGACUGCAAAGGUGUGGACCUGCCCACGGACUCGACUCCUCCAUCGCUCUCCUCUCUGGAAAAGCUGCCAAAAACAAACAAGGAUUUGCAAGUGACACAGAUUCACAAGUGUUCAGUGCUCCAGUGACUGGAUAACUUUUAUAAGACUUAUUAUCAUUUCUGAUAACAAAAAACAUCCUGUUGACAGAGCUGAGGAAAAACUUCACUGUCUUGCCCAAGCUCUUUUUAAUUUUUUUUUUCUUUCCCCUCCUACAUGAUGACAGCAAAUCCAGUUGAACAAAUACUUGUUGUUGAAGCAGAAGGAAUCAAAAUAAAUUUUGAUCACUCAAAGUAUUUUUGUUGGGGGGGUGGUGAGGGARGUCAAGGGCUGUAUUUGCUGGAAUUGUUUUAAAUAAUUGAUGUGCACACACCUGAUUAUUGGUUCUUCUCACUG